UACGUAGGGUGCGAGCGUUAAUCGGAAUUACUGGGCGUAAAGUGUGCGCAGGCGGCCGCGCAAGUCGAGUGUGAAAUCCCCGAGCUUAACUUGGGAAUUGCGCUCGAAACUACGUGGCUGGAGUGUGGCAGAGGAAGGUGGAAUUCCACGUGUAGCGGUGAAAUGCGUAGAGAUGUGGAGGAACACCGAUGGCGAAGGCACUCUGCUGGGCCGACACUGACACUGAGAGACGAAAGCUAGGGGAGCGAAUGGG
rnacentral:rRNA from 1 species